rnacentral:lncRNA from 1 species
UACUUUUCAAGUCCUCAUCAAACCUUUGAGCAAGCCAGGAAGAAGUCGCAAACUUGGUCUUUUGCAUCCGAGUAGUAGGCUCUUUGCCCACAUAAGAUGCAUAUAACAACCAAUCAUGCUUGACAUCCCUUUUUUCUUUACAUUUUUCUUUACCCUUUUCUCCAUUUUAUUCUCCACCAUCCUCUCCAAUUUUGUACCCGUUUUUCUCUAUUUUUGUCUCCAUUUCUUCUUCCUUUUUUUUUCUUUUUUCUUUUUUUUUCGGGCCUUUCCUCCACUUCCACACACACCCUAACCCUGUGAAGGUCAUUCUUGAUCCAUCUUAGUGGCCUAGCACUUAAAACUGCAUAGAAUCUUAUAGCCACCCUACAUUGUUCCAUGUUAACAAACUCCAUUCCAAUAUGAAAUACUGGAUUAAAUAAAUUAAUCUCCCCUUUGAAUUGCUUGAACCUUUGAGAUUUUAUUUUGCGACUAACCUUUUUCACACCCGUAUUUUCAUCAACUUCGUCUUCCUAUUUUGAAACACUUAGAAGGUCCUCUGAAUUGUAGUCAUCACUUGAAACAUCAUCGGGUUCUCUCUAUGGUUCUUCAACAGCUUCAUCCACUACAUGCCUAUCAAACCAACUGUUAUCUUAUGCUCCUUUUUGUUUGUCAUGUUCUUCAUCUGUUUGCUUGUAGUUACUAUUUAUGAACUGCAGGUGCUCUUCAU